rnacentral:rRNA from 1 species
AGUGAACGCUGGCGGUAGGCCUAACACAUGCAAGUCGAACGGCAGCACAGUAAGAGCUUGCUCUUACGGGUGGCGAGUGGCGGACGGGUGAGGAAUACAUCGGAAUCUACUUUUUCGUGGGGGAUAACGUAGGGACACUUACGCUAAUACCGCAUAUGACCUACGGGUGAAAGCAGGGGAUCUUCGCACCUUGCGCGAUUGAAUGAGCCGAUGUCGGAUUAGCUAGUUGGCGGGGUAAAGGCCCACCAAGGCGACGAUCCGUAGCUGGUCUGAGAGGAUGAUCAGCCACACUGGAACUGAGACACGGUCCAGACUCCUACGGGAGGCAGCAGUGGGGAAUAUUGGACAAUGGGCGAAAGCCUGAUCCAGCCAUACCGCGUGGGUGAAGAAGGCCUUCGGGUUGUAAAGCCCUUUUGUUGGGAAAGAAAAGCAGCAGGUGAAUACCCCGCUGCUCUGACGGUACCCAAAGAAUAAGCACCGGCUAACUUCGUG